GCGGCAGCGCGGGGCAACCUGGCGGCGAGCGGCGAACGGGUGAGUAAUACAUCGGAACAUGUCCAUUUGUGGGGGAUAGCCCAGCGAAAGCCGGAUUAAUACCGCAUACGCCCUACGGGGGAAAGCGGGGGACUUCGCAAGAGGCCUCGCGCGAAUGGGUUGGCCGAUGUCCGAUUAGCUAGUUGGUGGGGUAAAGGCUUACCAAGGCGAUGAUCGGUAGCUGGUCUGAGAGGAUGAUCAGCCACACUGGGACUGAGACACGGCCCAGACUCCUACGGGAGGCAGCAGUGGGGAAUUUUGGACAAUGGGGGCAACCCUGAUCCAGCCAUUCCGCGUGAGUGAAGAAGGCCUUCGGGUUGUAAAGCUCUUUUGUCCGGAACGAAACGGGUAGCGUGAAUAGCGCUGCCUACUGACGGUACCGGAAGAAUAAGCACCGGCUAACUACGUGCCAGCAGCCGCGGUAAUACGUAGGGUGCGAGCGUUAAUCGGAAUUACUGGGCGUAAAGCGUGCGCAGGCGGUUUUGUAAGCCAGAUGUGAAAGCCCCGGGCUUAACCUGGGAAUGGCAUUUGGGACUGCAAGGCUUGAGUGCGGCAGAGGAGACUGGAAUUCCUGGUGUAGCAGUGAAAUGCGUAGAUAUCAGGAGGAAUACCGAUGGCGAAGGCAGGUCUCUGGGCUGACACUGACGCUCAUGCACGAAAGCGUGGGGA
rnacentral:rRNA from 1 species